rnacentral:rRNA from 1 species
CCUACGUGUGGCAGCAGUGGGGAAUAUUGCACAAUGGGGGAAACCCUGAUGCAGCAACGCCGCGUGAAGGAAGACGGUUUUCGGAUUGUAAACUUCUAUCAAUAGGGAAGAAAGAAAUGACGGUACCUAAAUAAGAAGCCCCGGCUAACUACGUGUCAGCAGCCGCGGUAAUACGUAGGGGGCAAGCGUUAUCCGGAUUUACUGGGUGUAAAGGGAGCGUAGGCGGCAUGGUAAGCCAGAUGUGAAAGCCUUGGGCUUAACCCGAGGAUUGCAUUUGGAACUAUCAAGCUAGAGUACAGGAGAGGAAAGCGGAAUUCCUAGUGUAGCGGUGAAAUGCGUAGAUAUUAGGAAGAACACCAGUGGCGAAGGCGGCUUUCUGGACUGAAACUGACGCUGAGGCACGAAAGCGUGGGGAGCGAACAGGAUUAGAUACCCUGGUAGUC